CAGGUCGAAAAAACCGUAAGAAAAAAACUUAUAGAGAUAUCUUAAUAGUUCGGAUUUUGCAAAUAAAAGUGCACUCUGUACAAGACAAAUAGAAAAGAUCAUCUUAAAACCCGAAAUCGACGAAGACGUGUCCGCUCGUCUGGCUGUUUAAAGAGCGUUUACUUUCGAACGAGUAAAACAAAAUUUCGGGGAAGUAAAUGAAAUCUCAAACUAAAUUCACUUUUGCUUGAUAUGAUCACGUUUUACCUUGAAUAUUGCGCUGAGUUUGCCAAAACAAAUUGCAAGCUACAGCCCAAAUAGAAAAGUUAAUUUUUGGCACAAAAGUUCAGGAGUGGCACUGGCGAAUUGAAUCACGUGUAUAAUCUGACAAUGCUAAAUCUGGCUGGUACGCCCAUAGUCUACGAUUGUGUUCCCAAUGACGUAAAUCUGGAGAUCGAUGUAUAUGCCUGCCAUAUCUGAAUAUAGACCGA